ACAGCCGGCAAGGGGGAGGCGGCCCUGUGUCUUGGAUUCUUGAGGGCCGAAUCGGCUCGUAAUUUUUUCAGAAGGGCCAGGGGGAGCCGGCUAGGCUACCCAUGGUUAUUUACUCCGACAACUUGUUUCCAGGGUAGAUAGUUUAAGUUCUUUAUGCGGUUUUAAUAGCCUUUUUUUAAUCAGGAAUGAAUGAUCCAUGUCAAAAGCACGAUCUUAUGAACUUGUUAUUUUUGCACUAAGCAUUUAUGCAUGACACAAAGGAAAAACAUGCAUGUACAUUCUGUGGCAUAUGUUGUGCACCAGAUUCUUAAAUUGGCACUUAAUGUAGUUAUGUAGGUGGUUAUCAGUCAUCACCAUAGCAAACGGUGGCCGAUCACAGGGCUUGCUACUCUAACCAGCUAACUUUCUGCACAUCAUGUGCAAGAAGCAGCGAUAAUGGAGCUAAUCUUGUCCAAGUUAAUACACAUUAUACCAUGAGUGCAUGUUUCAGUCAUGGGCAGGGACAGUCCACACACUUGCAUAUAUAUAUUUCGGAUAAACUAGAAAAAUUUUGCGUCUUGAUUUUAUGAUAUAUAGAAACAACCUAUGUACACCAGGCCUACAAAUAGGCCAACACGGCAACAUCGUAUGCGCACCCCUAAGAAAACUAAGCUCUGCUGGUAGUAACGCCUGUAGGCCAGUUGCCCCUGCCUUAGCCCAGAAUCCUGACUCUGCACGUAUACUGACGAGCAGCGUAGCGAUAUCAGGUCUAUAAGUCUAUUGAUGUUUAAGACGGCAGCGUUUCACUGCUUCCAAAUCCACCAUGCUGUGAGCAUUAUCAACGAGGUUCCCUACCAUCCGAUGGAUCCUCGAGAGGAAACAGCAUCCAACGGAGGGCGGUUACAAUAUGCAUAGGCAUACAAAAUGCAGGAAUAGUGUAGUGAAAACUGCUCAUUUUCAGUGUGUGUCGCCAGUGGAGCUAACACAGCAUGCAUGACCUUCUCUCCCUUCCCUAUCGCAGUAGCUCAGCUGAAGGUUUAUAUCUCCAUGUUAUUAUUCUUCACGUUGGAGCUAGCGUUUGAGGCUACCACUAUAAGCUUUGGUUUUAAUAAUACGAGUUUCUAAAUAUCGGUCCAUACACUCAGUUUGAUACCGAUUUGGCACAUCCUUUUGUAUUUUUGUUUCCAGACAUGCUGG